rnacentral:rRNA from 1 species
AUUGAACGCUGGCGGCAUGCCUUACACAUGCAAGUCGAACGGUAACGCGGGGCAACCUGGCGACGAGUGGCGAACGGGUGAGUAAAGUAUCGGAACGUGCCCAGUAGUGGGGGAUAGCCCGGCGAAAGCCGGAUUAAUACCGCAUGAGACCUGAGGGUGAAAGCGGGGGAUCGCAAGACCUCGCGCUAUUGGAGCGGCCGAUAUCAGAUUAGGUAGUUGGUGGGGUAAAGGCCUACCAAGCCGACGAUCUGUAGCUGGUCUGAGAGGACGACCAGCCACACUGGGACUGAGACACGGCCCAGACUCCUACGGGAGGCAGCAGUGGGGAAUUUUGGACAAUGGGCGCAAGCCUGAUCCAGCCAUGCCGCGUGCGGGAAGAAGGCCUUCGGGUUGUAAACCGCUUUUGUCAGGGAAGAAAUCUUCUGGGCUAAUACCUCGGGAGGAUGACGGUACCUGAAGAAUAAGCACCGGCUAACUACGUGCCAGCCGCCGCCGUAACAC